UACGAAGGGGGCUAGCGUUGUUCGGAAUUACUGGGCGUAAAGCGCGCGUAGGCGGGUUCUCAAGUCAGAGGUGAAAUCCCAGGGCUCAACCCUGGAACGGCCUUUGAUACUGGGAGCCUGGAGUCCGGGAGAGGUGAGUGGAAUUCCGAGUGUAGAGGUGAAAUUCGUAGAUAUUCGGAGGAACACCAGAAGCGAAGGCGGCUCACUGGCCCGGUACUGACGCUGAGGCGCGAAAGCGUGGGGAGCAAACAGG
rnacentral:misc_RNA from 1 species